CUGAUAGCUCAGAUGGUAAAGUAUCUGCCUGCAAUGCAGGAGACCCAGGUUCGAUCCCUGGGUCAG
rnacentral:tRNA from 1 species